CGUUCAUUUUUGUUGUCUCCAUUUUUUUCUUCUCAAUUGUUUUCUUCCAAAAGCAUCGCAUCUUUGCUUCCAACAAUCAACCUCUCAACUGUUGUUAGCCUUUCUUCUGCCCACUAGCCAGCUUCUAUUUCCUCCCUUGUUGUGCCAUACUCUCUCUCCUUCGUCGGUACCUCCUUUGUCUUUCUUCCCACUCUUUCCCCUGACAACGAUGUCGCCAUUUGUUUCUCUUCUAUCUAUGUCUUCCUUACUCACUUUGGUUGAACAAUCAAGGGGCUCUCAUGUGCAUCAUGUUAAGCUUGAUGGUGGAUCUUCCAAGCAAGAACUGUAUUUGUCAAAGGAUCCAGAGCCAUGUGGUGAGCCACGUCUUAGCUUUGGUUAACUGAGGAAAGAGGUUUCUAAACGUAGGCCAGCUACACCUUUGCAAUAUCUGAUAGCUCUUUUGUUAUUCCUCCUGACUAUGAUAUUUGGUCUGAAGUUAGGUAUUGCAUCUCAGGUAUUCCAAUUUCGUAGAAACACUUAGACAUUGUUUCAUUGUACUGUAGAAGAUAAAACAAGUUAUAUUUUUUGCAUUUUUCUGGUUACACCAUCUUUCUCACUUUGAUAUCAAAUAUUAAUCGUGUGUAAUCUCAACAUUUUUUGCAAUCAAGAUGACUGCCAUAUUCCUUAGUUAUUCGUUCAAAAAGGAUCGCCAAUGAUGGGGAAUUCUUUUGACAAAAUAAUGAGAAUUUUGUUGAUGAUGGUAUUUGAAUAGAACCUUUCAAUCUAAGCAAAGAAAGAGAAAAAGGAUACUUUGACGCAGAUGGAAACUUUGUUGAAUAUGUCAAUAACAAUGAAAUCAAGGAUGCGUGGCUUGAUAAUAUUGAAGAUGAUAUAAAAUACAUAGGAAAAACAUCUGAAACAACAAAUGUUGCUGUCUUCACACACAUUUGCUAGCUAGGGUGGUGCCACAACGCUUACUGCAUGGUGUUGUUACGUUAAAGCUUUUGUCCCUUAGCUUACUGGGCUGAUUGGGAUUGUGCGUGGAUCAUGGCGCCUUGUUGUAUUGAUUCCCUGCUUCUUUUAGCUUCAGUCUGUCUCUACUAUAGUUCAAUCACUUCCAAUGUGGUUUUGGCCAUGAUUUGGUCAUAACUAGUUAAAGUGAUGAGCAUGAAAGUUGUAGUUCUUUCACAUAGCCUUCCGGUGGUUCAAAAAUCAUGACAAUUGGGCAUUUGUUA